AGGUUACCAAUUACUCUGCUUACUAAAAAUCUUGGUCAAUGAAAGCUGAGAUUUAAUCUAAAUUGCUUUAAAACUUUGUGACCUGACUAUAAGCCAAAGAAACUAAGGCUAAGGUUUUGAUUCUCCAUUUUCUCUCGUGGGAGAAACUACUGAGAGAACAAGAGUCACUAUCUUGCUCAGGCGACGUUUUAUGUUUAACUUUCUGCCUUUGUUCUAAGCACUGUUGACCAAGGUGUUCUUGAGGAGUGUCAUUAUGCCGAGAGGUAUUAUUAAGUUAAAAUUAACCUGCACAAAUUACGGGAAAGAGCUGUGUGUCCCAAAACCACCUCAGACGGUCCAGCCAGUCCUGUAACUCCCUGCUGAUGCUAACCGCCCUGGAGUGUUACCCCUAACCGUGAGCCAAUCAGAUUUGUACUCAUAUGUAGGUUUGCUUAAACACCUGGUUAAUGUAACUUUUUGGUUUUUGCCUUUAAACCCUGCUGGAAUGUUGCUCAGAACCUCUUCGCAUCACCGGUUACCGAGUGUGUGGAAAACCAAGCUCAAGCUUGCAAUAAAUGACUCUUUGCUGUUUGCAUUAAUUGUGGUCUCUGGUGGUCUGUAAGGGGGCAUCCAAAAACGGGGUACUUCAGAUGGGGGCUUGUCCGGGAUGCCCCCCAGAAGCCCACCCAGACACCUGAUCAGCGAGUUGUCUAGCCAGCCGCCCUGACAAACUAGUCCUGAAUGUUCUUCAGUGAAGGGUCUUCUGGGAAUGUUGUUCUACAAGUUUCUGGGACUCUACACAAGGCUGCCUCUGGUCCAGAGAGCAACUAGAAGUCUGACAUUUAGGUACUGUUCCAUUUCCCAAGUAUUCCAAGCCAUCUUCACAUUUACCAGCAAGCCCUAGAAGACAUGGCCUCACCAGUACUUGGUACUCACACAUUUCAUCCACUUGAACUCUGGGUCUGAGCACUGUCCCUCAGCUCUUCA